UACGUAGGCAGCGAGCGUUGUUCGGAGUUACUGGGCGUAAAGGGUGUGUAGGCGGUUCGUUAAGUCCUGUGUGAAAUCCCCCGGCUCAACUGGGGAACUGCACAGGAAACUAGCGGGCUUGAGUUCGGGAGAGGGAAGCGGAAUUCCGGGUGUAGCGGUGAAAUGCGUAGAUAUCCGGAGGAACACCGGUGGCGAAGGCGGCUUCCUGGACCGACACUGACGCUGAGGCGCGAAAGCUAGGGGAGCAAACGGG
rnacentral:rRNA from 1 species